GCAAUCAGGGGUGCUAAGCGACCUUAGCUGAGAGGAACGCCGAUGAUCGUUCAAACCCUUAUAACCUGAGAUGGAUAAUGCCAGCGUAGGGAGAUGCAG
rnacentral:ncRNA from 1 species